rnacentral:rRNA from 1 species
CACUCCUGCGGGAGGCAGCAGUGGGGAAUUUUGGACAAUGGGGGCAACCCUGAUCCAGCAAUGCCGCGUGAGUGAAGAAGGCCUUCGGGUUGUAAAGCUCUUUUGUCAGGGAAGAAACGGUGGUGGCGAAUAACUACUACUAAUGACGGUACCUGAAGAAUAAGCACCGGCUAACUACGUGCCAGCAGCCGCGGUAAUACGUAGGGUGCAAGCGUUAAUCGGAAUUACUGGGCGUAAAGCGUGCGCAGGCGGUUGUGUAAGUCAGAUGUGAAAUCCCCGGGCUCAACCUGGGAAUUGCAUUUGAGACUGCACGGCUAGAGUGUGUCAGAGGGUGGUAGAAUUCCACGUGUAGCAGUGAAAUGCGUAGAUAUGUGGAGGAAUACCGAUGGCGAAGGCAGCCCCCUGGGAUAACACUGACGCUCAUGCACGAAAGCGUGGGGAGCAAACAGGAUUAGAAACCCUAGUAGUCCCAU